UGGAGACUGGCUCUAAGAAUCUCUGUUUUCUGUGGAGAUACGCAAGCCAGAUGAAAAGCAGCUUGACUUCAGUCAGGCUCCAGCCUAACUUUUCUCAGCCUGGCAAUCAGAAACACUAUUUUGCUCAAUCAAUUGGCAUGCAAAGGAUUGAUGCACCACUGUUGCUAUGCUGACUGUGGUUAUACAAUUGAAACUGUGGAGAAAAUAAAAGAAUUUCCACCAACAGCACUAACGGGAUCUUCUGGCAGUCCCUACACCUUCCUUGCACGUGCAAAGCUGCAGCUCUGCAGGUCAUGGGAUAAGUGGCACGUUAAGAGCUGCAUGGCGACACUUGUUUUCAUCACCACUCCUGGAGCUGUUCUGGAGCCGUAAAGUUAUGCAACUGACAUGUCCUCCACAAGGAGUAGAGGUUGGACAUGCCUGACUUUAAGGGCCUCUCUGAAAACUCAGACUGCACUGUUGAGUUAAUUUACUUGGUGAUGGAUUUGAAAAGACCCAAUUUGCAAGGUCACUGGCAACCACACAUGCACCAUUUGUUAGACCUGGAGGAAAUGCUGCUUGUUUCCCU
rnacentral:lncRNA from 1 species